UUUAUGGAGAGUUUGAUCCUGGCUCAGGAUGAACGCUGGCGGCGUGCCUAAUACAUGCAAGUCGAGCGAACGGACGAGAAGCUUGCUUCUCUGAUGUUAGCGGCGGACGGGUGAGUAACACGUGGAUAACCUACCUAUAAGACUGGGAUAACUUCGGGAAACCGGAGCUAAUACCGGAUAAUAUUUUGAACCGCAUGNUUCAAAAGUGAAAGACGGUCUUGCUGUCACUUAUAGAUGGAUCCGCGCUGCAUUAGCUAGUUGGUAAGGUAACGGCUUACCAAGGCAACGAUGCAUAGCCGACCUGAGAGGGUGAUCGGCCACACUGGAACUGAGACACGGUCCAGACUCCUACGGGAGGCAGCAGUAGGGAAUCUUCCGCAAUGGGCGAAAGCCUGACGGAGCAACGCCGCGUGAGUGAUGAAGGUCUUCGGAUCGUAAAACUCUGUUAUUAGGGAAGAACAUAUGUGUAAGUAACUGUGCACAUCUUGACGGUACCUAAUCAGAAAGCCACGGCUAACUACGUGCCAGCAGCCGCGGUAAUACGUAGGUGGCAAGCGUUAUCCGGAAUUAUUGGGCGUAAAGCGCGCGUAGGCGGUUUUUUAAGUCUGAUGUGAAAGCCCACGGCUCAACCGUGGAGGGUCAUUGGAAACUGGAAAACUUGAGUGCAGAAGAGGAAAGUGGAAUUCCAUGUGUAGCGGUGAAAUGCGCAGAGAUAUGGAGGAACACCAGUGGCGAAGGCGACUUUCUGGUCUGUAACUGACGCUGAUGUGCGAAAGCGUGGGGAUCAAACAGGAUUAGAUACCCUGGUAGUCCACGCCGUAAACGAUGAGUGCUAAGUGUUAGGGGGUUUCCGCCCCUUAGUGCUGCAGCUAACGCAUUAAGCACUCCGCCUGGGGAGUACGACCGCAAGGUUGAAACUCAAAGGAAUUGACGGGGACCCGCACAAGCGGUGGAGCAUGUGGUUUAAUUCGAAGCAACGCGAAGAACCUUACCAAAUCUUGACAUCCUUUGACAACUCUAGAGAUAGAGCCUUCCCCUUCGGGGGACAAAGUGACAGGUGGUGCAUGGUUGUCGUCAGCUCGUGUCGUGAGAUGUUGGGUUAAGUCCCGCAACGAGCGCAACCCUUAAGCUUAGUUGCCAUCAUUAAGUUGGGCACUCUAAGUUGACUGCCGGUGACAAACCGGAGGAAGGUGGGGAUGACGUCAAAUCAUCAUGCCCCUUAUGAUUUGGGCUACACACGUGCUACAAUGGACAAUACAAAGGGCAGCGAAACCGCGAGGUCAAGCAAAUCCCAUAAAGUUGUUCUCAGUUCGGAUUGUAGUCUGCAACUCGACUACAUGAAGCUGGAAUCGCUAGUAAUCGUAGAUCAGCAUGCUACGGUGAAUACGUUCCCGGGUCUUGUACACACCGCCCGUCACACCACGAGAGUUUGUAACACCCGAAGCCGGUGGAGUAACCUUUUAGGAGCUAGCCGUCGAAGGUGGGACAAAUGAUUGGGGUGAAGUCGUAACAAGGUAGCCGUAUCGGAAGGUGCGGCUGGAUCACCUCCUUUCU
rnacentral:rRNA from 1 species